rnacentral:rRNA from 1 species
AACGAACGCUGGCGGCGUGCCUAACACAUGCAAGUCGAGCGGGAAAGCCCGCAAGGGUGAGUACAGCGGCGCACGGGUGCGUAACACGUGGGUAAUCUGCCCUGAAGCCCGGAAUAACCUCCCGAAAGGGAAGCUAAUACCGGAUGAGACCACGGGAGCUUCGGCUCCCGCGGGAAAAGGUGGCCUCUGCAUGCAAGCUAUCACUUCAGGAUGAGCCCGCGGCCCAUCAGCUCGUUGGCGGGGUAAUGGCCCACCAAGGCUACGACGGGUAGCUGGUCUGAGAGGACGAUCAGCCACACUGGAACUGAGACACGGUCCAGACUCCUACGGGAGGCAGCAGUGGGGAAUCUUGCGCAAUGGGCGAAAGCCUGAUGCAGCAACGCCGCGUGUGUGAUGAAGGUCUUCGGAUCGUAAAGCACUGUCGGGAGGGACGAAUAACGGCCAGGUGAACAAUCUGGUCGGAUGACGGUACCUCCAAAGGAAGCACCGGCUAACUCUGUGCCAGCAGCCGCAGUAACAC